UGGAAAUGGACUAUGAGGGUCCAUUUCUCUCUACUCCAUCAGAAGUGCUUGCUGCUUCCUUCUGUGUCAUGGAGUCACAGUUGUAUGUGUAGAGUUGCCUUUAAACACAGAUGCCGGAUGCUUCGGAAGUGAUGGAUUGAGGUGCACACAUAAUGACCUGUUCCAGUCAGAAACUGAGAGCCUCAGAAGGAGUUGCCAACCAGAUCUAUAGAAUGAGACUGAGAAUCAUCCCAGACUGAGUUCAAAGAUUUGUCUAGCUUCCCUCCAUGCUAUGCCCAUCACUUUGUACCGAGUACAGAUGAAAUGCUGAAGUGUUGCAACUUUUCUGUGAGAGGAGCAGCCGCUAGAGGGGAGGAUGUACACUGUGAAGUCCCCAUCAGUACCCUGUCACUGAGGCUUCCUCAGAAUUUUUUGCACCUGAAAGAAAACCUGCUGGUAUCCUAUCUGGGUGACUUUCAUGGCAUCAGUAAAUACCAAAGAGACCUGCCCCUAAAGAAGAUGCUCUCUCAAGGUAAGACUGAAAUCCAAAUUACUUUAAAAUAGGAAAGAAAGAAAAGCUUGGCAAUGCUAUGGAUACAUGGACAAUUACAGCUAUAUAAACCAGAUUGUUUAAUGAUUGUCUCAAGGAUAGUUUUUUCAAGUAUCUUUUACACUGAGCUAAUAUUUUUCUCACUUUUAACUUUAUCCAAUGUAAUGUGUAAAUGGGAGAUUAGAAGUCGAAGACUGUAUUGCAGGCACCCAAUGAAAAGCAGCAGAUGACACUGCCCACAUUGUCUUAAUAAAUUUGUUCUUCAGAAGGUGCAGAACCCAAUAGCCAUGCAGUCCAGUGAUCCUUCGAGGUCAACAGUUUUAUAUUCAUUUACUGCUGCAGUCCCCACUUUGGUAAAGAUCAUCUAUCAGUUUCCCUGUUAUCCUCCUGCUUACAGCUACCUGUUAAGAUCAAAAAUGCUCAUUUCUGAGAUUGAGAUUUGCCACAAUUGCAACUGGAAAACACGAUUUUUUAUUUAAACAUUUUAUCACAAUCUUUGUGGACGUUUUAAAAUACAUCAAAAUACUGGGAAAACACUAAGGUUAUUUUGUUUGAUAGUCUCUGGGCAGAAGUAAGACCUGAAAGCAGAAAGUCAGAACUAUUUUUCAAUAGGAAGCAGGGCAUGAUUAAACUCGGGAACCAACCUGGUUUAAUUGGACCAAAUACAAUUACAGAAUGUUUGGAUAUGAAUAUAUGCAACUGUCUGUCUGGCAGUUAUUCUUGGGUGCACACCUCGGAAAGCUUAUGCACUCUUCAGCUGUUCAUGUUACUGGCUGGGUUUUACCCUCUGUGCCUGCUUUCUCCUACAAGAAGUAACCACAGGAGAAUUCCCUUGGCCCAGUGCUGUUCCCCACUGGCAUCUGAAGCAGCCUGCCUGUGCCAUUCUGUCUUUGCUCUGCUGUGCAAAACCUGUGCUGGCAGGCGCACAGUGCAGCAAGUCUGCAGCCAUUCUUAUUCCAUAGGGAGUGGGCUGACAGAUCGCUGCUGCUGGUUGGGACCCCAACAGCUUAUUUGUUCCUGCUGUGCGCUCUCACUGGACUCGACCUACUCUCUGAGAUACCUUAAUUGCUUGCUGUGGAAGCUGAAGGUGACACUGUAAGCAAAUCACCAUAAACACAUGCAAAUCUCUCUUACAACUGCAAAUCAAACAGUUGAAGUAGUGCACAGUAUAGGUCAGCAAGAGCUCUUUUGCUGUAAAUCUCAUUUUCACACAUCUUCAGACUUUGUACAAGAUCCCAGCAAUGCUAGGGAAGAGGGGUAUCUGAGGUUUAUAAGGGCAAAUAUGAAUCCCUGAAUUGCCUUUCUGUGGUUCAACUAAUAUGGCAGAGAACAAACUGCAUUUUCAGAACUGUGAACAAACCACAUUUCAUAUAAGUUAUCUGCUUACAGGCCAGACCUUGUAUUUAUAACUUAAGAAGGAUUAAAUCAAAAGGCAAGCAGUCCGUGAAAGGGUGGUUUUAUACACAGCCAGCUAAACUCUUGAUAAAUCGUUCUCUUGAAGGAAAAAAUAAAGGCUUCCAAUAGAUUCUUCUGUACUUGUUUUCAGAGAAGCUUAUGGUGUCUCUCCUUAGAGGCUUUCUUUAUGAGGAAAGCUAGUUAAAUGCCUAGUGAGACUGAGUUUCCAAGGGUGAUCUCCCUAGAACAGGAUUAGGGUUCACUGACAACGUAAUGCAGGGCAGGUAAUGCUGCUGUUGCUCAUGGCUUAAACUGCUUUAUGGCUAAAUCAUAUUUCAGUUUCUAGAGGUAUCAGUUGGUACCUCUGAGCUUUCAACUUGCUUCUGUAAGGUAAAAAAACAAACAGGUUUUUUGGUCUUCCCGUAUUUUUUUCUGGACUAAAACAAGCAGCUCUCUCACUGCCUGAGCAGGACAGUAACCAGUCCUGAAAUGGAUCAUCAGAAAUUUAUGAGGAUCACUCAAUUAUUUUGUUUCCCUCCAGAUUAUUUCCAAGUUGGUGCUUUUCUUCAAGCACAGGUGAAGCAUUAGGGGAGUUUUACAGACUGACAGUCCAUUCUGAAUCUGUAAACCAGAGCAGCCAAGCAGCCACAAAGGCAGCUCAGGGCUAGUUAGCACGAGGUGAAUGGUUCACACGUUUUCUCCACAUCCACAGAAAUGGUUUUUGAAAACAAAGCCAAAAAAACCACUAUAGUUUCAGUCUAAUACCAAUAACAAAUACUAUAGUUUGUUAAUACAUUGAUACUCUUGCCAUUGUAUCUGAACCAAUUGCCCUAUUCUAUCUCAGCGACAUUGAUUAACAAAACAGUUUGUAAUUAGAUGGAGUCGUGUAAUUCAUGGCCCUCUGUAAACAUCUGGAUUUGCAAAUCUGCACUCCUAGCUUGGGAGCUCUGUCACACAUCACUAAUUAAGCCACAUUCUUAUAUACCAGUACAUACAUCCUCCUGCUGAGCAUCCUUUCUUUGUUCCCAGUACAAAUAACAGCCUGUUGUCAAUACAGAGAAAACCAUCAUAACUGCCUAGCUCAGCGUGUGACAUUUAUUGAAAAUGAAAUAACAUCUCAUUUGCAUGACUGGCAUUACUUUAUUAAAGCCAGAGCUGCAGAAGCUGGGUGCUACAGUGCAAGUCAAGUGUGCAAGGCUGACAGUCCGUAAGUGCAUAGGAACGAUGGUGUCCAGCACAGGGAGGUUGGCACUCCCCCCUGCCUGUCUGCCCACCUCCUGUUUGUAGGGUAGGGCUUCUAGCAAAUCGACAGACCUAUUCCUUUUCCCAGCCCCCCCCCCCCCCUCCCAGUCCUUGUUCUCCCUGUUACCUCCAUCCCACGGAGCUGGGAACCAGAGCCCCCCUUGCUUCUCCCAGAGGAGUUCCCCAGAAUCAUCAUGGGCUGGGAUCAUCAGCUCCAGCUGAGGAGGAACCCAUCAGAAGUGCUACAGGAAGCAGCGCAGUAGCACAGGAGCUGUGUCUGUUGUGCAGGGGAAGUGCCUUAAAAGAGGAAUAUUUUUUCAGUGUCAGAAGAACGCAGCUGAGCACUCAGAACUUUGAACAGACAAAGUUGUGCUCCUUCAGUCUGCAUUUCCCUCUGCCAUUUCACCAGCAUUGAUAAGGAAGCAAAAUCCUUAUUGUGGCCGAUUCUGAUCUGCUUUAACCCCUUAGACAUAUUUAGAAAUAACGAGUUUAUGUGAAGAAACUUUCUGAUUCUGACCUUGGCGCCCAGUUCGGCAGCGAUACAGCAGAGAGGAGAAGCUGCCAGCGGGACGGCUCCUGGCAGCAUGUGGGCGGCUCCUCCCCCUCCUUUUCUUUUCACACUUCUCAGCGGAGUUUUUCUUUCUGCUAUCUCCGAUGCCGCUCCGCCCGUCUUCCUUCCCCCGUCUCCUUGCCGCAGUCGCGCUGCCCCCGGCCGCCUCGGUGCUGCUGCCCGUCCCGCAGCGGUACCCGACUCCCGCACGGUCCGAGGCCAUCGGCUACGCGCAACCCGACCCCCGUGCCGCCCCAGCUUUGAACGAUAUUUAACUUCCAGAGAGGAUGCUACCAACUCCAGUUGAUUUUAAUUUCUGCAUACAAGUUUACUUAUGCACGCUUCUGUCACUUAGAAAAGUUUUGUCGCAGCGCUCAUAGUUCACAGUGAAUCCCUUCUGCUCCGGUCCGGAUUUGGCGGCACCUCCGGCACGGACGCGGCGCGGGGUCCGUCGGGCCGGGAGCGCCUCUCCGCAACCAGAAGGGCGGCGGGGCCGGACCGGCGCCAGGAGCUCCCUGGCAGCGGGGCGCCGUGCUGCUCCAAGAGGGCUCUGUGAGCGAGGAAAGUUUCUUGCUUACGGCCGGGACCGCGCCUCUCGCUCGAGCCCCUCCGCUCCUGCGGAACGAGACG
ensembl:lncRNA